AAGUCGUAACAAGGUUUCCGUAGGUGAACCUGCGGAAGGAUCAUUAACACGUUCCAAAACGUAUCAACCAAACGGUUAAGUGCAAACUUAUUCCCUAACGAAGGGAGCUGUACAAAUGUCUUUAGUGAUGGGCGAGUCUUCGGAUUUGCAAAGACAGUUGGACUAGGGUCUCGAGCCCAAAGCUCCCUUUUUUAGGCUUUCCCCCCUUUUUUCCAUCACUUCCAUUAACCAUUUUAACCCCUAUGAAACUUAUGACUAAAUCUUUCGAACGAAGAAAUUUGUUUGGAAUUGUAUAUCUAACACUGUACAACUCUUAGCAAUGGAUAUCUUGGUUCUCGCAACGAUGAAGAACGCAGCGAAAUGCGAUAUGUAAUGCGAAUUGCAGAAUUCAGUGAAUCAUCAAAUCUUUGAACGCAAAUGGCGCUUUCGGGAUAGACCUGGAAGCACGCCUCUCUGAGUAUCGGUUCAAACCCAACUCAUUCAGUACAUGGUUGCAAGACCGUGUCCGUGAAUGGAAAAUGAGAGUCUAAGCAUCUGAUGCUUUGUCUCUUGAAAUCUGUUGAGCUUCGAUCUCUCUCAAUCGCUCAGACUUCGGUCUGAUAGCCCUCAUGGCUUUGGCGAUAGUAGUGACGUGGAUAAUGAUCACUUUGUGGUUGCGAAACGUCUGUCUGCUAUCGACAAUACAUACUAUGAACGGUGAUGGUUGGAGUUGACUCGAAGUGUAGAAUUGAACACGACUGGGCAGCCUUCGGGAUGCACAGUCCGAUCUUGAAAUUAGAUCUCAGAUGAAGCGAGAAGACCCCCUGAAUUUA
rnacentral:rRNA from 1 species